rnacentral:rRNA from 1 species
AUUGAACGCUGGCGGCAGGCCUAACACAUGCAAGUCGAACGAGUGGCGGACGGGUGAGUAAUGUCUGGGAAACUGCCUGAUGGCGGGGGAUAACUACUGGAAACGGUAGCUAAUACCGCAUACCCUCAGAUGUGCCCAGCUGGGGUGAGCUAGUAGGUGGGGUAACGGCUCACCUAGGCGACGAUUCCUAGCUGGUCUGAGAGGAUGACCAGCCCCCCUGGAACUGAGACACUGUCCAGACUCCUACGGGAGGCAGCAGUGGGGAAUAUUGCACAAUGGGCGCAAGCCUGAUGCAGCCAUGCCGCGUGUAUGAAGAAGGCCUUCGGGUUGUAAAGUACUUUCAGCGGGGAGGCGUUACCCGCAGAAGAAGCACCGGCUAACUCCGUGCCAGCAGCCGCGGUAAUAC